UGAUCGCAGAGCCGGCUCGGAGGCGCCCUCUGCUCCAACAGACAGGGGCGACUUCGGGCUGGAUAUCCGUCAAAUUCUUACCUCGCCCUUACUCUGCUGGCAGGAUCAGAUUGCAUUUCUUUCAUUACUCUUCACUUCCCAGUUUGCUGAUCUCUUUAAAAGAAGCAGCAGAAAAGAUAAAUCCUCUCUUCAAUGCCUGGAAGGGAAAACAAAAUAACCUCAACGGCGCUUUGAAAAAAAUCUUUCCAAGAACUUUCUUCAGAGAUUUUACUCAGAUGAUCUAUACAAUGAAGAAAGAACAGAUUUGUUGGGCUUCUAUAUGUCUGCUGCUUGGUUGUGCGUCUGCUCCUCUUAAUGCUGCUCCUCAGGAAAGUGAAGAACAUACAAAUAUUACAGAUGCUGAGUUACCACCACUGAAACCUCUGCAUUCGUUUUGUGCGUUGAAAGCGGAUGAUGGCCCAUGCAGGGCAAUGAUCAAGAGAUUUUUUUUCAAUAUUCAUACUCAGCAGUGUGAAGAAUUUGUAUACGGGGGAUGUGAAGGCAAUCAGAAUCGAUUUGAAAGCCUGGAAGAGUGCAAAGAAAAGUGUAUAAGAGUUUAUCCAAAGAAAUCUAGAAAGACAGAAGGAACAUUGCAAAAAGAAAAGCCAGAUUUCUGCUUUUUGGAAGAAGAUGCUGGAAUCUGUCGAGGUUAUAUUACUAGGUAUUUCUAUAACAAUCAGUCAAAGCAGUGUGAACGUUUCAAGUAUGGUGGGUGCCUCGGCAAUCUGAACAACUUUGAUUCUUUGGAAGAAUGCAAGAACGCUUGCGAGGAUGCAUUGAAUGAUUUCCAGGUGGAUGAUCAUAGAACCCAGAUUAAUGCUGUGAAUAAUGACUCCUUGACUCCCCAGCCUACCAAGGUUCCCAACUUUUGGGUUACAAAAGAAAGAACAAAUGAUGGUUGGAAGAAUGCGGAUCAUACUUACCAAGUCUUUCUGAAUGCCUUCUUCAUUCAUGCAUCCAUGUUCAUUUUAGGAUUAGGUAGCGUUUUACGCAUAUGUUAAUGUUUGUGCUUUGACAUUUCUUUAAUAUUUAUAUGGUAUAUGUGAUGCCUUUGAUAGCAUACAAUUAAUAAAGUUUUAAUAUUUCCAUGCAUAGAGUUAAUAUUUUCCUCUCAAUAUAUCUCAUUGGUAAAUGUCUAACUAGCAAACAAAAAUUAAUGUUCUCAAAUGUUCAUACUGGUUAUGGGCCUUUUGAGUGGACCUGACCCAUUCACGAAAAAGCCUCCAGGUCAAGGGAAACUGAUUGGAUGUCAUUCUGAAGACCAUCUGGGUGCUUGGAGCUCUCUCUCUUUCCUGACUGUAUUCAAUGUAUGAUCUAGUGGCUAGAUGCCAUAUAUACGUGAAAAAAAUGGGAAGAAAGGAAAAACAUAUAUAUACACACACACACAUGCAUACAUGCACUUCUUUUUAAAAUUUUUUUGUUAUUAUUGGCCCUCUAAAGGAGGUGUUAUGCUGACAAAUUGCCCGAUUGUCAGCCAAACACCAUCCCUGAUAUAGUCAUUUACAGAUUUGCAAGAGAAUAUUGUUACCUAUUUGGCCUCUUGUUGAAGCUAUGAUUACAUAUAAAAGAAUAUCACAACCAUGGAAAUUUUCUGGAAAGAAAAUAUCCCCCAUCAACUAUAGAGUUACACACUUAGCAGCAUACCAUGGUUAAUCACCAGCACCAUUAACAAUUCUGAAAAACCCUAAUUCAUCAACAACCCACUUCCAUAGUCCCAAAGAAGUAUCCUGUUUUUCAUAAUGUAUUUUCAAACCAAGAAGCAUAGAACCUUCUCUGAUAGUCUAAAUACGCCUGCAUGGUGAAUCUGGUUCCUCAUAUGUUGAUUUUCUGACAAGCUGGCUUUCCAAAAAUAGAUAGCAAUUUGUAGAGAGAAUCCAUCAGACCUCCUACUUCCUGGCAGGAGAGCUGGUGAGAAACAAAAAUGUAGCACUUCAUUUCUGCCAAGAUUGCUGCCAUUCAAACAAGUCACCCUGGUGACCACAGACUGCUUUUGCUAAUCCCUUUCUUCCUGGACCAUCUCUGGUUUUAACAAGGAUGAAUUUUUUACGUCAGUUGUAAGAUUCCUCCAGGGAAGUGUUUCUAAAACUUGAAUAAUAUACAGAUACAUUUAAAAGAGAAAAAUCACAGACUUCCAAUUUGUAAGCCAAAUUAUUUUGAAUGACAUUAAUUUUACAUGAACAAGUAAAAUAGUAGGAAUAAACUAUGCAUGUGACUACUUGAAAACUAUAUCAAAACUUAUUCACAAAUGAAUACAAUACAAAAUACAAACUACUAAAUUAAUAAUAGUAAUUUGAUGGCACGUGCUUUUUGCUAAAGGUAAAAAUCUCUAUUAUAAUAUGAAUUUGGUAUUGACUGCUAAGGGCAAGUUAGGAAUGUGGUUGGAAUAGGAUAGAAAAACUGUGCUGCUCUGUGUCCUGUGUAAUUCUCUGACUGCCCUUUUGCUAUUUGAAUACUGGACAAUCUUUGCAGGAAUGAAUUUGAAAAGCAUUGGUGUAAAAUGUCUUGGUUAGGAAAAUCUCAACUCUAUCUUUCUAGGGACAGAGCAGAAUGAGGUUUCUAGUUGUCUAUCACAACCUAAUGCCAUUAAAUGGAUCUGGCUGGCCAGUACAAACAUGAUCACAGAGUGCAGAAAAACCUGGAACUUUGGUCUGUGAUUUGUAGAAUCAGUCCAUGUUGAACAUGGUAACCCAGUAAUUCUUGCCUUCAAAUGUUGGAGUACUGAAUACGGUUUGGCUCAGAACGGUUACUCCCAAGACUGUUUCCAGCUUCCUUGUUUGAUGACCUAUUUUGAUUAGAUCUUUGUCCUGUUCAGACUUGGUAAACUCUAACUCGAUGCAUGUAACUGAGGGAGGGAAGCGUCUAAGACAUUCUGAACCUGAGUUGCAAAGAAGAGAGAAUUUGGGGAUCAGAUAUAAAGGAGAAGAUGUGACAACUUUCUCUUUAUCUGAUAAUUAUUAAAAUAUCUUUGCUCAGUUAUUUUUAUUUUCCAGUUAAUUUUCAAAUGACAUAGCAUAGUGGUUAAGAGCAUUAGCUUUAUGAGCAGAAAGAUGUGGGUUUAAAUUCCACUUCUGCUGUUUGUCAACUCUCUCUGUGGCCUUGAAAAAAAUUACACAACUCUUAGCCUUGGGUUCCUCAUUUGUUAUAUGCGGAGAGUAAUAUCUCAGAAAAUUUUUGUGAAGAUUGUGAUGACAUAUAUAAAAUUCUUAACCCAGUGUUUAGUACUCAAUAAGAGCUCAAAAGUAUUAAUAUUUGAGGGUUUUUUAUGAUAUUUAUGAUGAUCACCGAUGUCAACAGAAGUUUACAGCAGGAAAAAAAUAAAUAAUCAUGGAAAUUAUUUGUAUACAUUUUAUUAGUGAUAAUUUUUUAGUGAAACUAAAGUCUGUAACCUUGAUCUGAAAUAUCCUCAUUUUAUACUUAAUACUAUGAUUACCUGAAAUAACAUAAAGCACUUGUAAAAUUCAAACAUAAUUAUAAACUACUAAUACAUGUUUUCUGUCUUUGGAUCUUAUUUCUAAACAGAAGACUUGCAAACCUGUUUCCAACUUUAUCUUAUGACCUGAGGUACAGAUGUGUUAUUCUUCUUAAUUUCAGUUCAGUUCAAUAAAUAUUGGGUGCCGCCUACAGAACAAGAAUUGUCAUGGACACUGGGAGUCUGGGAAGAAUAAAGAGGGUGUUGUUGUCCUUACAGGCAUGUCUGAAAUCAGGGAAGGAGAUAGACACAUAGAUGAUUUCAAUGGCUAUGUUACCUGCUCAGACACAGACCUGCACAAGUGUUAUGGCAGGAUGGAGUCAUGAUGUUGUACUUCCACUGAAGUACAGAAUUAAUCAUGAUAUUGUUCUUCCAUUGAAGUCAAAAUUAAAAUUUUCUGUCUUCUCAAAACCUGGGUUCUAUCUUCGAUCUAACAUCUUGGAUCUGUUUGCCUAGACGCUGGCUAAUCCAUGGGCAUAGUUCACAAUUUCAUCUUCAUUCAGGGAUUUUUCUAUGUAAAGCCACAAUGAAAGAAAGCCAUGCUAAAAUUACAACUUAUGAAACUAUCAUGACUAUAGUUUCUAUUAUAAUUAUGUUUCAUAAUAAAUUAAAAAAAUAUUGCAUCUUGUAAGUCAACUAGUCUAGAAAUAUUUCAAUUAUCCUCCCUCUAAGUGUCUGUCUCCCUUGCCCACAUUCAAUCUGGUGCUUAAUUUCAGCUAUUCCCACUGUAACUGCUUUAGUUAGGGAGUUAGGGUCACCUUAUAUUCGCCUCUAUUGCAAGUCUCCUAGUGGAUUCAACCAACCCAUGCCUGGUUGAGUUUGCUUCACGAAUCAAGAAAGAACAGAACUUGUGUCCUUCAUCCUUCAGUACUUUCAGUGGUGUAUUAAUGUCUACAUCAUAAAUCCAAAUAUAGUAGCAUUCAAAGACCUUCUUUAUUUGGCCUAAAUCUACUUUUCCAGCUUUGCAUCCCACUGGACUCUCCAUGCACUCUGUUCUUCAGAUAGCCCAGAGUUUGCAGAGUACCCCCCCCCCCCAAAACCAGGAAUGUUCUGACCUUUGUGCUUUCCUUCACCCAUAGUUCCCUCUAUCUCCUCAGUGUAUCAAAAUCUCAUCCUUCCUUAAAAGCUGAUCAAGGGACUAAAUAAACUUUAAUUUUCACUUUUUACUAAAAUCGUAUAGAGUUUUCAACUUUGCAGAUAUGACAUGAAGAAAAGUUUUUCUAAAACAUUAUAAGACAUAAUUAUCAUAGAAUAAAUUAUACUCAUAAGUUUCAUGAUUGUCAAUUUUACCAUGGCUUUCUUUAUUGGUGGCUUUAUUUAGAAAAAAUCUCUGGAUGAAGAUAACUUUGUGAACUCUGCCCAUGGAUUAGGCAGUAUCUAGGCAAAGAAGUGCAACCCAAUAAAUAUCUACCCAAUUUCUCUUUUCCUUUUCAAUAUGUGGAGGCUUCCGUGCCUGGGCAAGGUUUCCUGCAGUCUGUUUCCACACGAUCUUUUAGUUUCCAGUGCCCUGGCAGCCUACCUUCUACAUUUCACACUCAGCAAAGUGGCCCAGUACACAUAGAAAAAAAAUGUUUCACGGCGCUCAUUUUCCCAUUCCCUGCUCUCUUUUCUCUUCUAUGGAAUGCCAGUUUCUGCUCACUUAACACCGCUUCUCCCUUGGUAGUGAAUGGAGACACAUGCUUUUCCAGUAGUACAGACUUAUUAUCUAUAUAUAGUACACUUACAGCUGAUAGUUUUACUUUCCAUUCCCAGUCAGAAACAGCUUCCAAUCUCUGGACUUUCUGCAUGACCCCAGGACACUGGGAUCACUCUAAAAAUAUUUUUACUAUAUAAUAUUAUUUCUAAUAUUUAUUAUGUAUUUUAUUAUAUAAUUUGAAUAUUAUAAUUGCAGACAAAUUGAAAAACAUAGAAAAGAAAGUCAGCCAUAUUUGCAUUACAUACAAUCACUGUCAACAUUCCUAGCGUAUCCUUUUAAUAUUUCUUUGCUAUUUUCGUUUUCCAACUCAUCAUGAAGUAAAUAAAAUAGAAGACUGGAAGUAGCUUCUAGAGGAUCCCAGCAGGAUACAGUAAGCUCAGCAUAAAGGAAUUAUUUUGUAGAAUUGUAACCUAGCAAACUGCUAAGCUUGCUACCUGCUAAAAAUCUCUCUCUAGGAAUCAUCCUGCCAUCUGAUUGCAUUCCCUCUCAGCUUUUUGCCCAACGGGUAGCAUAUAUCAUUUCCCUUCCUAUUUGUGUGUGUUUGUAUGUACGUACGUGUUUCAGUGUGUUGACACAAAAAAGAUAAAUUAUCAUAUUUUAUUGUUUCUAAGAUGCAUAUUUUUCCACAUUUUAACAUUGUUUAAACCAUGAUGAAGCUUACAACUGAUAGUGUAUAAUAGUGUAAUUGUGUUUUUUUCUUUCUUUAUAAGCAGUACAUAAGAUAAUGUUGUGUCUUAAAAUCAAAGGUAUCUUAGAUUCUAUGUAAAUUAUAUUUAGUAGAAUAUUUGGGGAGCUCUGAGCAGUUACUAGUCCUACAAAGUACCCUUCCACUUUUGUGGGUAUUAGGAGAGGAAAAAGCAAUGAAUAGUAAAUAAAUGCAUUGGAUUAAGGUCCACGUUUUGUUAAAUAAUGUUUAGGCACUUUUAAACUUAAGGCGCGUGUAGAAAUAUAAAUUUAUAUAAACUUUUAGUUGAGUAUUCAGCAGCAUCUACCAAAUUAUACAUUGAAUAUAACUUUUGUACAGUUCUAAUUUUAGAAAUAUCUCUUCUAGAAAUAUCUGAACCAAUGUAUAAGGAUGUUCAUGAUCUAUUGUCCGGAAUUGAAAAAGUAGAAGUAAUCUAUAUAUACACAAGACAUGGAUUGACUGAACAUACUGUACUCAAUUCAAAAAAUAAAAUUAAAAAGAAGGAGGCAUAUGUAUGAACAAAUGUGGAAACAUAGCCACAAAAUGUUACCAAGUAUAGUAAUACGACACAGAGGAGUAUACUAAUACAUGUCUGCAUAUGCAAACAGUUUGAGGGAAGAUAAAGGCCAAACCAUUGAUAGUGAUUAAAGGGCAAGGAUUAAAUUAUGGAGAACUUUUGCAUUAUAUUUGCUUUACUUUUGUAUUAUUUGAACAUUUUACAAUGAUAAUUUGUAAUUAGAAAAUAAAAAUUUUUAUUUUUCUUCACUAUGAAAUUAUGGGGAAAAAUGAAGUUUGUUAUUCAAAGGAAAUAUUUGUUAUUCAAUUCCCUAAAAUGGUCUCAGAAGAAAAAAAUAAUUUACUCCACAAGUCAUGAGGUGGUUCUGAAACCUUAUUUGAUUGGUAAAAUAAAAGCCUAAAUGGGCAUGUAAAAUGGGAAGAAGAAGAAAGACACCAUAGUAAAGAUUCAAAGUGAGUAUAAAAUUCAAAGUUUACUGUAUAAGUUUCAAAGAAAAAUUAUAUAAACCACUUUACACAUAAAACUGACUCUGAAGUGCCACCUACAGUUUAGCAGGCCUACUAGAUCAUGGCAGCUCCUGGCAGAAAAUAAGUGGAUCCUGAAUUCUGACACCUUAUCAUAGACCCUCUAAAUGGAAGCUAUCCAACUUGUUAUUAAUGGCGAGAUCGAGACAGAAUCCAUUUGGUUAUUAAAUUCCCUUUGGAAAACAAACAGAAGUCAGAUUUCAAAGUCUGGAUUUUGAAUAGAAUUUUAUGGCCCCUCCUGGUGUCUGACCCCAGCGGACAGAGGAUUGUGUCAAGCCAAUGAAAGCAGAUUCUACUACAAUUCAAUUAUUGGGAAAUGCCGCCCAUUUAAGUACAGUGGAUGUGGAGGGAAU